UUUCGGAGUUCAGCACCACGUUUGGCCUGUUCUGAUCUGCUCGAUCCCUUCAUUUCUGUGCUGCAACACCACCAUCCACGAGAAGUCAGAUAGGAGAAAAGCUCUUUCCAGCGAGAUAGAGAAGGAAUUAAUUAUACCUCUGCCUCAUCCUGUGAGACCAGAAGACAUGGAGUAACUCCCAUUUCCGCAGGAGGCAACCGUUCCCCAUGGGAUGGACGCCGAGACGGACAGACAUACCUGCUCGAUGCCUGAGCCCCGCAGCCCCCCAGGGGAAGGGGAGAACGUCCGGGCAGGCAGUUCCGCCGCAGUCUCCCUCCCAG